UGAAUACUUUUUACUUUUAAUACUUGAUGACGUUUUCCCAGAUUACACUCACACACUUGUACUUGUACUCUGACAGAGUAUUAGUACUUUCAGAAAACUUCCCUCCAGCUACAGCUCUGCGUACUAACAGUGUGCAGUUCUGCUUUUUCCCAGAGGGCAGCGAAGGCAACACCGUGUCACUCCACUGUGAAGUGAAGUUGUUGAAGAAAAGAAAAGAAAAGAAAAGAAAAGAAAAGAGAGAAACAUGGACAGAAAACAAACAAGAGACGAGUUCCUGAGUCGAGCAGCGCGAGCGGGAGCUCCGCGGCUCCGCGGCCGCCUCGGGACGCUCCCUCCCCGGCCGCGGCCCCGGCGGCAGGCGGGGCCCCCGCGGACUCACAGCCGCGGACGCGACAGACAGACAGCCGCCAUGAUGAGAACCCGUCUGUCGCUCUGCGUCGCCACAGACACCGACGGACUAACGGAGCUGUCUGUCUUUCUGUCUCGCGGCCUGUCUGUCUCGCGGCCUGUCUGUCGCUCCCCCGCCCGCCCGCCUGUCUGUCUGACUGUCUGUCUGUCUGACUGUCUGUCCGCCGGUCGCUCGCUUCCGCAAACCCAGCCCCGCUCGGCUCGGCACCGGCCCCCCCCUCCCUCCUCCCCCUCCCCGGCUCCCUCCGCCCGAGUGUCCCGGUGUGUCCCGGUCGAUCCUCCGGUGCGUGAUGGUGGAAGAAAGAAAGAAAGAAGAAGAAGGAGAGAAGAGGAGAGAAAGGAAGAGGUUACUCACAGUCACAUCCACCCGUCGGCUGCGCGCUCGCUCUCUCUCUCUCCCGCUCUGUGUGGAUGUCGCUCGACCCGAGCCGCUCCCUCCUGCUGCCGCCGCCUCGCGAUGACGUCAAGCUGGACGACGUGUGAGGUGGACAGCGGCGUUUCCCGUGAACUCUUUCAAAGUAAAACGCGGUAGACGAAAGAAAAGUAAAUUCUUUGUUAAUGAGACAAAAAUAAAGAUAUAACAGUU